UUAUAUAAAAUUAAUUUUUCUGGAUAUAUAACUGCAUUUCUGAUAUUUCGAGCAACCAUAUGGUUUUCGUUUCAGUUUGUUUGGUUCCCGUUUUCUAAAAUCCAUCCGGGUAUUUUGUCGGUUUCGGAUAGGUUGGAUUCCACCUAAUUCAAUUUGUAGGUGAGAAAAUAUUUACAUGCAUGUGAUAUGUAAUCUUGGUCUAAUCUCCAACGAAUAUUUACAUGCAUGCGAUGUUUUACAUUCUUCUUUUGUUCAAAGAGUUUUUUUUUUCUCAAAGAGUUAUUUUACGCUCAUGUAUCAUGAAUAGUUAUGAUAAUGUGAUCUGUGGUCAGAUAGUAAUAACGGAAGAUUGGAUCUUAGUUACAUGAAAUGAAAAUACUCCAAGAUAAGUCAUCGUCUUAGUCUUUCCAGUAAGAGUGAUUGAUAAUGGGAAUUGUGAUUCUUAGUCAAAAUUGAGGAAUUAGUGGGUUAGUGAAAUAUCGGAUUAGUAUAAUGAUUUAAUAU
rnacentral:lncRNA from 1 species